rnacentral:rRNA from 1 species
AAAGGUAAGCUACUAAGAGCGAAUGGUGGAUGCCUUGACUGGUAAAGGCGAUGAAGGACGUACUAGACUGCGAUAAGCUACGGGGAGCUGUCAAGAAGCUUUGAUCCGUAGAUUUCCGAAUGGGGCAACCCAAUGUAUAGAGAUAUACAUUACCUAUAUAGGAGCGAACGAGGGGAAUUGAAACAUCUUAGUACCCUCAGGAAAAGAAAUCAAUAGAGAUUGCGUCAGUAGCGGCGAGCGAAAGCGCAAGAGGGCAAACCCAGUGCUUGCACUGGGGGUUGUAGGACUGCAAUGUGCAAGAGCUGAGUUUAGCAGAACAUUCUGGAAAGUAUAACCAUAGAGGGUGAUAGUCCCGUAUGCGAAAAACAAACCUUAGCUAGCAGUAUCCUGAGUAGGGCGGGACACGAGGAAUCCUGUCUGAAUCCGGGUCGACCACGAUCCAACCCUAAAUACUAAUACCAGAUCGAUAGUGCACAAGUACCGUGAGGGAAAGGUGAAAAGAACUGAGGUGAUCAGAGUGAAAUAGAACCUGAAACCAU